rnacentral:rRNA from 1 species
UACGUAGGGUGCGAGCGUUAAUCGGAAUUACUGGGCGUAAAGCGUGCGCAGGCGGCGCGUUAAGACAGGUGUGAAAGCCCCGAGCUUAACUUGGGAAUUGCGCUUGUGACUGGCGUGCUGGAGUGUGGCAGAGGGAGGUGGAAUUCCACGUGUAGCAGUGAAAUGCGUAGAGAUGUGGAGGAACACCCAUGGCGAAGGCAGCUCUCUGGUCGACCUCUGACGUGAGACGCGAAAAGCGUGGGG